GUCCACACCGUAACGAUGAUUACUAGGUGUUGGGAGAUUGACCCUCUCAGUGCCGCAGUUAACACAAUAAGUAAUCCACCUGGGGAGUACGACCGCAAGGUUGAACUCAAAGGAAUUGACGGGGCCCGCACAAGCAGUGGAGUAUGUGGUUUAAUUCGACGCAACGCGAAGAACCUUACCAAGUCUUGACAUCCCUUGACGAUGCUGGAAACAGUAUUUCUCUUCGGAGCAAGGAGACAGGUGGUGCAUGGUUGUCGU
rnacentral:rRNA from 1 species